CCGAGGACGAGACACCUCCACCUGGAGUAACGUUAGUAUCCAGCUGGGCUUUAUCUAGAGCUGGCGAGAUAUAUUCGGCUGCGCUUUGGAAAGGAGAGCUAGAGGGAUAAACAAACAUGGCAGCACACCAGUAAGGAUCUUCCAGUGGGACUGAAGAUGACUUUAAGGAAGGCUACAUGGGAGGAAUACAUGAGCCUGGGUAACAGAGUAGGUGAGCAGAACAAGGAAGACACACAGCACUGUUCGGAUCUGGAUGGUGAGGCAGCCCGGUUGGCACUAAAACCAGAGGAGACAGAAGGGAAGUGAUUGGAAAAUAGAACGAG